CGAGGUGCAAGCGUUAAUCGGAUUACUGGCGUAAGCGCGCGUAGGUGGUUCGUAAGUUGGAUGUGAAGCCCCGGCUCAACCUGGGAACUGCAUCCAAACUGGCGAGCUGGAGUAUGGCAGAGGUGGUGGAAUUUCCUGUGUAGCGGUGAAAUGCGUAGAUAUAGGAGGACACCAGUGGCGAAGCGACCACCUGGGCUAAUACUGACACUGAGGUGCGAAAAGCGUGGGAGCAAACAGGAUU
rnacentral:rRNA from 1 species